rnacentral:lncRNA from 1 species
AGAGAACAUGUUUUUUGAUUAUGUUUUUAUUAAUUAUUAGAAAUACGAUUAAAAGGGACCAAAAGCAAUUCUUUUUGACCGUUAUUUGUUAUGUAUUUACUUUUAACAUGACAAUUUGAUAAACUCGGGAGCUUCGCUGUUAUUUUCGAAUCAGUUACAGUCCAAAUUAAAUC